rnacentral:rRNA from 1 species
UAUGGUUGUUGCCAGCAGCCGCGGUAAUACGUAGGGGGCAAGCGUUAUCCGGAUUUACUGGGUGUAAAGGGAGCGUAGACGGACUGGCAAGUCUGAUGUGAAAGGCGGGGGCUCAACCCUUGGACUGCAUUGGAAACUGUUAGUCUUGAGUGCCGGAGAGGUAAGCGGAAUUCCUAGUGUAGCGGUGAAAUGCGUAGAUAUUAGGAGGAACACCAGUGGCGAAGGCGGCUUACUGGACGGUAACUGACGUUGAGGCUCGAAAGCGUGGGGAGCAAACAGG